UGGAUUUCUAAGAUGCUACUUGCCUAUUU
rnacentral:piRNA from 1 species